rnacentral:lncRNA from 1 species
AUGAGUGGUCCCCGUGAGCCCGGCGCAGCAUCGUGCGGGGAGGCAGCGGGGCGGCGGGUGCCCGGCUCCCGGACCAGGCGCUGCACCUCGCUUGGCCCCUCAAAAUGCCAUCAGGCAGCAGCGGGAGGGAAGGCGGGGUGCUCAGGAGGGCUGGCAGGAAAAGGUGGGUCUCCUCCGAGCAUCAGGAAACGGCCGGGGAGGAGACCAGACACCGGGGAGCCAGCGGCGCCACGAGGAAGGGGUCAGGGGAGCAGGGACGUGCACUCAGCAUCACCCUCGGCCAAGGCAGUGCUCGGUCUGCAGCUCUGUGCUCUACAGCCACGGGAAGGGGGCUAUUCUGCUUUAGGUUUCCUCCCUGGUACCUGCAGUGACACGUGGGUGUCCCUCCGGCCACGAGGGGACAUCUCCAGAGCGCAAGGUCAGCCUGCUGCUGCCUGCCAGCAUCGGCCCUGUGCUGAUGUUGGAAAAACAGGAAAAAAACAGGAGCAUUGGAAGAAAAGCCUCGCACAAAUACACAGCUCCAGGGCAGAGGGCGGCCGCCCUGGUCCCAAGGGAGCAAGGCAGGACAAGUGUCCGCUCCGGGCGUGCACGGCCCCAGGGAAAGGCAGGACAGUCCCCGAGAGCCCCGCGCCCAGGGGUGCCAGCAGGAGCCCUGCUGCUGCCGCGGCCCGGCUUUACGUAAUUCGCUUUCCACAAACACAAGGAACCGCUCGGAGGAAUUUGUGCAGAGCAGCAUGGAAGGAAAACAGCCCCGCUCUUGAACUUUGCAGGAUAAUGUUCCAUUCAGAGCCGCUCGCUGUCUGGGUCGCCCCCGCGUUAACCCUGGAGGACGUGGGCUGGGCCAAGCGCCAGCACGAGAAGGGGCUUAGAUCACGGGCAGGCGAGGGACGUCCUCCUCCCAACAUUUUGAUCUUGCUCCUUUUAAAGCAUCUAAAAGAAGAGCUGCCCCUGCUCUCCCCAUCCCGCUCCCCGACCCUGUCUUUGCUUCUCUGUCAAGCAAAAGGACUGGCAAAAGGAUUUAAGCAGGGAGAAGCGAGGUCCAUCUCCCCCUGUUCUCACGCACCCAUUGCACCCGGAUAA